UUACGGCCAUAUCAUGUUGAAAUACCGAUUCUCGUACGUUCACUGAAGUUAAGCAACGUCGAUCCUGGUCAGUACUUGAUCGGUGACCACUUGGGAAUACCAGGGCCUGU